rnacentral:rRNA from 1 species
CCUACGGGUGGCAGCAGUGGGGAAUAUUGCGCAAUGGGCGAAAGCCUGACGCAGCGACGCCGCGUGAGGGAUGAAGGUCUUCGGAUCGUAAACCUCUGUCAGCAGGGAAGAACGGUCACUGUGCUAAUCAGCAGUGAAUUGACGGUACCUGCAAAGGAAGCACCGGCUAAAUCCGUGCCAGCAGCCGCGGUAAUACGGAGGGUGCGAGCGUUAAUUGGAUUUACUGGGCGUAAAGCGCUCGUAGGCGGUAUGUCAAGUCAAGGGUGAAAUCCCCGCGCUCAACGUGGGAACUGCCUUUGAAACUGGCAGACUGGAGUGUGUGAGAGGAUAGUGGAAUUCGAGGUGUAGGAGUGAAAUCCGUAGAUAUCUGGAAGAACAUCAGUGGCGAAGGCGACUAUCUGGCACAUAACUGACGCUGAGGAGCGAAAGCGUGGGUAGCAAACAGGAUUAGAUACCCCAGUAGUC